UUUAUGGAGAGUUUGAUCCUGGCUCAGGAUGAACGCUGGCGGCGUGCCUAAUACAUGCAAGUCGAGCGAACAGAUAAGGAGCUUGCUCCUUUGACGUUAGCGGCGGACGGGUGAGUAACACGUGGGUAACCUACCUAUAAGACUGGAAUAACUCCGGGAAACCGGGGCUAAUGCCGGAUAACAUGUUGAACCGCAUGGUUCUACAGUGAAAGACGGUUUUGC
rnacentral:rRNA from 1 species